GUCUACGGCCACGCCACCCUGAACAAGCCCAAUCUCGUCUGAUCGCAAAAGCUAAGCAGGGUCGGGCCUGGUUAGUCCUUGGAUGGGAGACCGCCUAGGAAGACCAGAUGCUGCAGGAG
rnacentral:rRNA from 1 species